rnacentral:rRNA from 1 species
ACACCUACGGGUGGCAGCAGUCGAGAAUCUUCGGCAAUGGGCGCAAGCCUGACCGAGCGACGCCGCGUGCGGGAUGAAGGCCUUCGGGUUGUAAACCGCUGUCGUAGGGGAGGAAGAUCCUGUGAAGAACAGGGUUUGACCGAUCCUAGGAGGAAGCGCCGGCUAAUCUCGUGCCAGCAGCCGCGGUAAUACGAGAGGCGCAAACGUUAUUCGGAAUUACUGGGCCUAAAGAGUUCGUAGGCGGCGCGGAAAGUGGGGUGUGAAAGCCCUCGGCUCAACCGAGGAAUUGCGCUCCAAACUACCGUGCCUGAGGAAUCUAGAGGUGAGCGGAACUGAUGGUGGAGCGGUGAAAUGCGUUGAUAUCAUCAGGAACACCGGAGGCGAAGGCGGCUCACUGGGGAUUUUCUGACGCUGAGGAACGAAAGCCAA